rnacentral:rRNA from 1 species
GAUGAACGCUGGCGGCGUGCCUAAUACAUGCAAGUCGAGCGAACGGACGAGAAGCUUGCUUUUCUGAUGUUAGCGGCGGACGGGUGAGUAACACGUGGAUAACCUACCUAUAAGACUGGGAUAACUUCGGGAAACCGGAGCUAAUACCGGAUAAUAUUUUGAACCGCAUGGUUCAAAAGUGAAAGACGGUCUUGCUGUCACUUAUAGAUGGAUCCGCGCUGCAUUAGCUAGUUGGUAAGGUAACGGCUUACCAAGGCAACGAUGCAUAGCCGACCUGAGAGGGUGAUCGGCCACACUGGAACUGAGACACGGUCCAGACUCCUACGGGAGGCAGCAGUAGAGAAUCUUCCGCAAUGGGCGAAAGCCUGACGGAGCAACGCCGCGUGAGUGAUGAAGGUCUUCGGAUCGUAAAACUCUGUUAUUAGGGAAGAACUUAUGUGUAAGUAACUGUGCACAUCUUGACGGUACCUAAUCAGAAAGCCACGGCUAACUACGUG